UUUCAGACACUGAAUAUGAGCAGAAACCAUAAGGAUACUCAAAGGACCUGUGACUCUCAGGAAAUGCAUCAAAUGAGAGGGACAGAUGAAACAGUUUCAAGACAAUGGCAGGAAAAACAUGCUGAAGAUUGAAACAAACCUUGGCUGGAAAUAUUUGAAGGUAUCUAGCCAGUCCACAAUGAAAGCUUCGUUGCACCCCAUGAGUCUUCUGGCAGAAAUGAUGGCGCCUGUAUUCUUUGGUUUCCCUAAACAUCACACCCUGCCUGUUUAUACGAGGCUCUUCAAUUAAGUCUGCACCCAAAGAUUCAAUAAGAGGUAAGCAGUGGUAUUAUUCAAGUUUUGCUAAAGAAAGAUGGACAGGAGACACUAAUCUUAAUCAGCCGAGCUCAGGUUCAUGUCCAGGUGAGCAGUUUCAUACGCUAUAAAAUGUAGAUUGAAUGAUAGGUCUCAUCACCAUGCAUUCAGCCAUUAACUUCAAGUUCUAUGAUAAAUCAAUAGGAAACUUAAAUAC